rnacentral:rRNA from 1 species
UGCUUAACACAUGCAAGUCGAACGAUGAAGGGGGAGCUUGCUCCUCUGGAUUAGUGGCGAACGGGUGAGUAACACGUGAGCAAUCUGCCCCUGACUCUGGGAUAAGCGCUGGAAACGGCGUCUAAUACCGGAUACGAGCCGAGCAGGCAUCUGCAUCGGUUGGAAAGAACUUCGGUCAGGGAUGAGCUCGCGGCCUAUCAGCUUGUUGGUGAGGUAAUGGCUCACCAAGGCGACGACGGGUAGCCGGCCUGAGAGGGUGACCGGCCACACUGGGACUGAGACACGGCCCAGACUCCUACGGGAGGCAGCAGUGGGGAAUAUUGCACAAUGGGCGCAAGCCUGAUGCAGCAACGCCGCGUGAGGGACGAAGGCCUUCGGGUUGUAAACCUCUUUUAGCAGGGAAGAAGCGAGAGUGACGGUACCUGCAGAAAAAGCACCGGCUAACUACGUGCCAGCAGCCGCGGUAAUACGUAGGGUGCGAGCGUUAUCCGGAAUUAUUGGGCGUAAAGAGCUCGUAGGCGGUCUGUCGCGUCUGCUGUGAAAACCCGAGGCUCAACCUCGGGCUUGCAGUGGGUACGGGCAGACUAGAGUGCGGUAGGGGAGAUUGGAAUUCCUGGUGUAGCGGUGGAAUGCGCAGAUAUCAGGAGGAACACCGAUGGCGAAGGCAGAUCUCUGGGCCGUUACUGACGCUGAGGAGCGAAAGCGUGGGGAGCAAACAGGCUUAGAUACCCUGGUAGUCCACGCCGUAAACGUUGGGAACUAGAUGUGGGGACCAUUCCACGGUCUCCGUGUCGUAGCUAACGCAUUAAGUUCCCCGCCUGGGGAGUACGGCCGCAAGGCUAAAACUCAAAGGAAUU